rnacentral:ncRNA from 1 species
CAUAGGUUUGGUCCUGGCCUUUCUAUUAGUUAUUAGUGAACUUACACAUGCAAGAAUCCCCACCCCUGUGAAAAUGCCCUUUAGUCACUAUUUGAUAUAAGGAGCUGGUAUCAAGCACACUAAAAAGUAGCUCAUAACACCUUGCUCAGCCACACCCCCACGGGAAACAGCAGUGAUAAAAAUUAAGCAAUAAAUGAAAGUUUGACUAAGUUACACUACUAAGGACUGGUAAAUUUCGUGCCAGCCACCGCGGUCAUACGAUUGGGCCAAACUAAUAGACAAUCGGCGUAAAGUGUGUUUUAGAAUUUCAACUCAUCAAUAAAGUCGAACUCUAAUUAAGCUGUAAAAAGCCCUAAUUACUGUAAGAUACCCAACAAAAGUGACUUUAAGAUUUCUGACUACACGAUAGCUAAGACCCAAACUGGGAUUAGAUACCCCACUAUGCUUAGCCUUAAACAUAAAAAAUUAUAAACAAAAUUAUUCGCCAGAGUACUACCAGCAAGAGCUAGAAACUCAAAGGACUUGGCGGUGCCCUACAUCCUUCUAGAGGAGCCUGUUCCAUAAUCGAUAAACCCCGAUAUACCUUACCAACUUUGGCUAAAUCAGCCUAUAUACCGCCAUCUUCAGCAAACCCUAAAAGGGAAACACAGUAAGCACAAAUAUUAACAUAAAAACGUUAGGUCAAGGUGUAGCCUAUAGGUUGGAGAGAAAUGGGCUACAUUUCCCAAGUUAGGAUAUUACGAAAACUCAUGUGAAAGCAUUAGUUAAAGGUGGAUUUAGCAGUAAAUUAAGAAUAGAGUGCUUAAUUGAAUAAGGCCAUAGGGCACGCACACACCGCCCGUCACCCUCCUCAAGCAACAAAUAUUAAUCAUUUCAUAAAACCUUAAAUAUUAUCUGCAAGAGGAGAUAAGUCGUAACAAGGUAAGUGUACUGGAAAGUGCACUUGGAUAACA